rnacentral:rRNA from 2 species
UACGUAGGGGGCAAGCGUUGUCCGGAUUUAUUGGGCGUAAAGAGCGUGUAGGCGGCUUGGCAAGUCCGCUGUGAAAACUCGAGGCUUAACCUCGAGACGUCGGUGGAAACUGCCUGGCUAGAGUCCGGAAGAGGAGUGUGGAAUUCCUGGUGUAGCGGUGAAAUGCGCAGAUAUCAGGAAGAACACCUAUGGCGAAGGCAGCACUCUGGGACGGUACUGACGCUGAGACGCGAAAGCGUGGGGAGCGAACAGG